UCGAUUCCCUUAGUAGCGGCGAGCGAAACGGGAAGAGCCCAAACCAACAAGCUUGCUUGUUGGGGUUGUAGGACACUCUAUACGGAGUUACAAAGGACGACAUUAGACGAAUCAUCUGGAAAGAUGAAUCAAAGAAGGUAAUAAUCCUGUAGUCGAAAAUGUUGUCUCUCUUGAGUGGAUCCUGAGUACGACGGAGCACGUGAAAUUCCGUCGGAAUCUGGGAGGACCAUCUCCUAAGGCUAAAUACUCUCUAGUGACCGAUAGUGAACCAGUACCGUGAGGGAAAGGUGAAAAGCACCCCGGAAGGGGAGUGAAAUAGAACCUGAAACCGUGUGCUUACAAGUAGUCAGAGCCCGUUAAUGGGUGAUGGCGUGCCUUUUGUAGAAUGAACCGGCGAGUUACGAUUUGAUGCAAGGUUAAGCAGUAAAUGUGGAGCCGUAGCGAAAGCGAGUCUGAAUAGGGCGUUUAGUAUUUGGUCGUAGACCCGAAACCAGGUGAUCUACCCUUGGUCAGGUUGAAGUUCAGGUAACACUGAAUGGAGGACCGAACCGACUUACGUUGAAAAGUGAGCGGAUGAACUGAGGGUAGCGGAGAAAUUCCAAUCGAACCUGGAGAUAGCUGGUUCUCUCCGAAAUAGCUUUAGGGCUAGCCUCAAGUGAUGAUUAUUGGAGGUAGAGCACUGUUUGGACGAGGGGCCCCUCUCGGGUUACCGAAUUCAGACAAACUCCGAAUGCCAAUUAAUUUAACUUGGGAGUCAGAACAUGGGUGAUAAGGUCCGUGUUCGAAAGGGAAACAGCCCAGACCACCAGCUAAGGUCCCAAAAUAUAUGUUAAGUGGAAAAGGAUGUGGCGUUGCCCAGACAACUAGGAUGUUGGCUUAGAAGCAGCCAUCAUUUAAAGAGUGCGUAAUAGCUCACUAGUCGAGUGACACUGCGCCGAAAAUGUACCGGGGCUAAACAUAUUACCGAAGCUGUGGAUUGUCCUUUGGACAAUGGUAGGAGAGCGUUCUAAGGGCGUUGAAGCAUGAUCGUAAGGACAUGUGGAGCGCUUAGAAGUGAGAAUGCCGGUGUGAGUAGCGAAAGACGGGUGAGAAUCCCGUCCACCGAUUGACUAAGGUUUCCAGAGGAAGGCUCGUCCGCUCUGGGUUAGUCGGGUCCUAAGCUGAGGCCGACAGGCGUAGGCGAUGGAUAACAGGUUGAUAUUCCUGUACCACCUAUAAUCGUUUUAAUCGAUGGGGGGACGCAGUAGGAUAGGCGAAGCGUGCGAUUGGAUUGCACGUCUAAGCAGUAAGGCUGAGUAUUAGGCAAAUCC
rnacentral:rRNA from 1 species